UCUGACUCCCCUGAGCCAUCUAGAUCCAGAGGGACAAGUUCUGAUUCUCUUUUUUGUUCAGCAAUGUUCCCAAAGGAUAUUUAUGAAGUAACUAAGGGAGAAACAAAUAUAAGAAAAACAGAAAAGCAUGGGAAUAACUGGAGAUGAAGAAACAAUUAUGGAAAGGUCAACAAUUUUCCAGAUGUGGAUUGAAGACCCUAUAACAUCUCUGACACUCUUUAAAGAGGAACACAAUGUGAGAUGGAAGAAAAGGAUUCCAGUAGAUUUUGAAGAUGUUUGCUGUAUGUGUCUCUACAAUUGUGUUGUCCUCAACAACAGAUGAGAAGACUAAGGCUGAGACGAUAUUUCAUCUAUAAGUUCCUUUCUAUCUACUGACUUGUGUGUGUAGAAGAUACUUCAGCUGAGAAACUUGAUGAGGCAUGCAAAAACACCAGAACCCCAUUAAACAGGGAUAUAUGGAAGCUAAAUCUUCUUGUUUCUUUUGGACAGACUUUAUUUUUUUAAUUAAGUAGAUUUUACUUAUCUUUUGCAUUAUGUUAAUUUCUAAAUAAUCCUCCAGUCCCAGCCACAUUGUCACAAAGAAUAAAAACAAAGGGAAAAAAUCA
rnacentral:lncRNA from 1 species